UUAUCGGGAGAUUUCUUGUUGGAUUAUCGUCAGGUCUAAUAACAGGAGUUAUGCCCAUGUAUCUCUGUGAAAUAGCGCCACCCAAUCUGAGAGGGGUGAUGGGUGUACUAUGCCCACUAGGACUAACAUUUGGCGUUGUUUUCUCACAGUUUAUGGGCAUGAGUUGGAUUUUAGGAACUGAACAACACUGGCACCAUCUGU